GGAUUCAGGACUCAAUUCUCUCAGUUCCACUUGUAUUGUGUCAGAAACACUGCUGAUUGUAUGCCAUGUGGAUGUUUCUUUUCUUUUGAUUUUACUGGAUGCAAGUUCUUUUUCUUUCUUUUUUCUGUUCUGUUAGCCAUUUUUACUUAGGUUAAACCAUAGGAAAUUGUCAAUAUUUGACCACCUUUGGUAGACAAGAAAAGCAAUUUCAUAUGAUUCAAGUCGACGUUAUGGACAGAGGAUGGAAAGAGGAGAACAGACAAAAGAGGAGAAAAAACACACCCUGGAGGAUACAGUGCUAUUUUGAGGAAACUAUGAUAGCAAGCUCUUCAUGGUCUCUGUGUCCUCCAAAUCUCUUUUUAUGUCCCCCAAUCUCUAGGAAACCCAGAACUUCUACAGAUGGGUCUUGCGAGGCAGUGCUGGGAUCUCAUGCCUGUCUUCCUAGUCAUGCCCUAUCUCCUGUCUGUGGGCAGUGGGAGG
rnacentral:lncRNA from 1 species